rnacentral:rRNA from 1 species
AUUGAACGCUGGCGGCAUGCCUUACACAUGCAAGUCGAACGGCAGCACGGGUGCUUGCACCUGGUGGCGAGUGGCGAACGGGUGAGUAAUACAUCGGAACAUGUCCUGGAGUGGGGGAUAGCCCGGCGAAAGCCGGAUUAAUACCGCAUACGAUCUACGGAUGAAAGCGGGGGACCUUCGGGCCUCGCGCUAUAGGGUUGGCCGAUGGCUGAUUAGCUAGUUGGUGGGGUAAAGGCCUACCAAGGCGACGAUCAGUAGCUGGUCUGAGAGGACGACCAGCCACACUGGGACUGAGACACGGCCCAGACUCCUACGGGAGGCAGCAGUGGGGAAUUUUGGACAAAGGGCGAAAGCCUGAUCCAGCAAUGCCGCGUGUGUGAAGAAGGCCUUCGGGUUGUAAAGCACUUUUGUCCGGAAAGAAAUCCUUGGCCCUAAUACGGUCGGGGGAUGACGGUACCGGAAGAAUAAGCACCGGCUAACUACGUG